UACCUUAUAGCAAAUUAGUGCAUUGAAUUUAAGCUUCAAAUAUAGAGAAAUCUUAAGGUUA
rnacentral:tRNA from 1 species